rnacentral:rRNA from 1 species
GGAUGAACGCUGGCGGCGUGCCUAAUACAUGCAAGUCGAGCGAACAGAUGAGGAGCUUGCUCCUCUGACGUUAGCGGCGGACGGGUGAGUAACACGUGGAUAACCUACCUAUAAGACUGGGAUAACUUCGGGAAACCGGAGCUAAUACCGGAUAAUAUAUUGAACCGCAUGGUUCAAUAGUGAAAGACGGUUUUGCUGUCACUUAUAGAUGGAUCCGCGCCGCAUUAGCUAGUUGGUAAGGUAACGGCUUACCAAGGCAACGAUGCGUAGCCGACCUGAGAGGGUGAUCGGCCACACUGGAACUGAGACACGGUCCAGACUCCUACGGGAGGCAGCAGUAGGGAAUCUUCCGCAAUGGGCGAAAGCCUGACGGUGCAACGCCGCGUGAGUGAUGAAGGUCUUCAGAUCGUAAAACUCUGUUAUUGGGGAAGAACAAAUGUGUAAGUAACUAUGCACGUCUUGACGGUACCUAAUCAGAAAGCCACGGCUAACUACGUG